UAUAGAUGGAUCCGCGCUGCAUUAGCUAGUUGGUAAGGUAACGGCUUACCAAGGCAACGAUGCAUAGCCGACCUGAGAGGGUGAUCGGCCACACUGGAACUGAGACACGGUCCAGACUCCUACGGGAGGCAGCAGUAGGGAAUCUUCCGCAAUGGGCGAAAGCCUGACGGAGCAACGCCGCGUGAGUGAUGAAGGUCUUCGGAUCGUAAAACUCUGUUAUUAGGGAAGAACAUAUGUGUAAGUAACUGUGCACAUCUUGACGGUACCUAAUCAGAAAGCCACGGCUAACUACGUGCCAGCAGCCGCGGUAAUACGUAGGUGGCAAGCGUUAUCCGGAAUUAUUGGGCGUAAAGCGCGCGUAGGCGGUUUUUUAAGUCUGAUGUGAAAGCCCACGGCUCAACCGUGGAGGGUCAUUGGAAACUGGAAAACUUGAGUGCAGAAGAGGAAAGUGGAAUUCCAUGUGUAGCGGUGAAAUGCGCAGAGAUAUGGAGGAACACCAGUGGCGAAGGCGACUUUCUGGUCUGUAACUGACGCUGAUGUGCGAAAGCGUGGGGAUCAAACAGGAUUAGAUACCCUGGUAGUCCACGCCGUAAACGAUGAGUGCUAAGUGUUAGGGGGUUUC
rnacentral:rRNA from 1 species